GGUUAAGCGACUAAGCGUACACGGUGGAUGCCCUGGCAGUCAGAGGCGAUGAAGGACGUGCUAAUCUGCGAUAAGCGUCGGUAAGGUGAUAUGAACCGUUAUAACCGGCGAUUUCCGAAUGGGGAAACCCAGUGUGUUUCGACACACUAUCAUUAACUGAAUCCAUAGGUUAAUGAGGCGAACCGGGGGAACUGAAACAUCUAAGUACCCCGAGGAAAAGAAAUCAACCGAGAUUCCCCCAGUAGCGGCGAGCGAACGGGGAGCAGCCCAGAGCCUGAAUCAGUGUGUGUGUUAGUGGAAGCGUCUGGAAAGGCGCGCGAUACAGGGUGACAGCCCCGUACACAAAAAUGCACAUGCUGUGAGCUCGAUGAGUAGGGCGGGACACGUGGUAUCCUGUCUGAAUAUGGGGGGACCAUCCUCCAAGGCUAAAUACUCCUGACUGACCGAUAGUGAACCAGUACCGUGAGGGAAAGGCGAAAAGAACCCCGGCGAGGGGAGUGAAAAAGAACCUGAAACCGUGUACGUACAAGCAGUGGGAGCCUCUUUUAUGGGGUGACUGCGUACCUUUUGUAUAAUGGGUCAGCGACUUAUAUUCUGUAGCAAGGUUAACCGAAUAGGGGAGCCGAAGGGAAACCGAGUCUUAACUGGGCGUUAAGUUGCAGGGUAUAGACCCGAAACCCGGUGAUCUAGCCAUGGGCAGGUUGAAGGUUGGGUAACACUAACUGGAGGACCGAACCGACUAAUGUUGAAAAAUUAGCGGAUGACUUGUGGCUGGGGGUGAAAGGCCAAUCAAACCGGGAGAUAGCUGGUUCUCCCCGAAAGCUAUUUAGGUAGCGCCUCGUGAAUUCAUCUCCGGGGGUAGAGCACUGUUUCGGCAAGGGGGUCAUCCCGACUUACCAACCCGAUGCAAACUGCGAAUACCGGAGAAUGUUAUCACGGGAGACACACGGCGGGUGCUAACGUCCGUCGUGAAGAGGGAAACAACCCAGACCGCCAGCUAAGGUCCCAAAGUCAUGGUUAAGUGGGAAACGAUGUGGGAAGGCCCAGACAGCCAGGAUGUUGGCUUAGAAGCAGCCAUCAUUUAAAGAAAGCGUAAUAGCUCACUGGUCGAGUCGGCCUGCGCGGAAGAUGUAACGGGGCUAAACCAUGCACCGAAGCUGCGGCAGCGACGCUUAUGCGUUGUUGGGUAGGGGAGCGUUCUGUAAGCCUGUGAAGGUGUGCUGUGAGGCAUGCUGGAGGUAUCAGAAGUGCGAAUGCUGACAUAAGUAACGAUAAAGCGGGUGAAAAGCCCGCUCGCCGGAAGACCAAGGGUUCCUGUCCAACGUUAAUCGGGGCAGGGUGAGUCGACCCCUAAGGCGAGGCCGAAAGGCGUAGUCGAUGGGAAACAGGUUAAUAUUCCUGUACUUGGUGUUACUGCGAAGGGGGGACGGAGAAGGCUAUGUUGGCCGGGCGACGGUUGUCCCGGUUUAAGCGUGUAGGCUGGUUUUCCAGGCAAAUCCGGAAAAUCAAGGCUGAGGCGUGAUGACGAGGCACUACGGUGCUGAAGCAACAAAUGCCCUGCUUCCAGGAAAAGCCUCUAAGCAUCAGGUAACAUCAAAUCGUACCCCAAACCGACACAGGUGGUCAGGUAGAGAAUACCAAGGCGCUUGAGAGAACUCGGGUGAAGGAACUAGGCAAAAUGGUGCCGUAACUUCGGGAGAAGGCACGCUGAUAUGUAGGUGAAGUCCCUCGCGGAUGGAGCUGAAAUCAGUCGAAGAUACCAGCUGGCUGCAACUGUUUAUUAAAAACACAGCACUGUGCAAACACGAAAGUGGACGUAUACGGUGUGACGCCUGCCCGGUGCCGGAAGGUUAAUUGAUGGGGUUAGCGCAAGCGAAGCUCUUGAUCGAAGCCCCGGUAAACGGCGGCCGUAACUAUAACGGUCCUAAGGUAGCGAAAUUCCUUGUCGGGUAAGUUCCGACCUGCACGAAUGGCGUAAUGAUGGCCAGGCUGUCUCCACCCGAGACUCAGUGAAAUUGAACUCGCUGUGAAGAUGCAGUGUACCCGCGGCAAGACGGAAAGACCCCGUGAACCUUUACUAUAGCUUGACACUGAACAUUGAGCCUUGAUGUGUAGGAUAGGUGGGAGGCUUUGAAGUGUGGACGCCAGUCUGCAUGGAGCCGACCUUGAAAUACCACCCUUUAAUGUUUGAUGUUCUAACGUGGACCCGUAAUCCGGGUUGCGGACAGUGUCUGGUGGGUAGUUUGACUGGGGCGGUCUCCUCCUAAAGAGUAACGGAGGAGCACGAAGGUUGGCUAAUCCUGGUCGGACAUCAGGAGGUUAGUGCAAUGGCAUAAGCCAGCUUGACUGCGAGCGUGACGGCGCGAGCAGGUGCGAAAGCAGGUCAUAGUGAUCCGGUGGUUCUGAAUGGAAGGGCCAUCGCUCAACGGAUAAAAGGUACUCCGGGGAUAACAGGCUGAUACCGCCCAAGAGUUCAUAUCGACGGCGGUGUUUGGCACCUCGAUGUCGGCUCAUCACAUCCUGGGGCUGAAGUAGGUCCCAAGGGUAUGGCUGUUCGCCAUUUAAAGUGGUACGCGAGCUGGGUUUAGAACGUCGUGAGACAGUUCGGUCCCUAUCUGCCGUGGGCGCUGGAGAACUGAGGGGGGCUGCUCCUAGUACGAGAGGACCGGAGUGGACGCAUCACUGGUGUUCGGGUUGUCAUGCCAAUGGCACUGCCCGGUAGCUAAAUGCGGAAGAGAUAAGUGCUGAAAGCAUCUAAGCACGAAACUUGCCCCGAGAUGAGUUCUCCCUGACUCCUUGAGAGUCCUGAAGGAACGUUGAAGACGACGACGUUGAUAGGCCGGGUGUGUAAGCGCAGCGAUGCGUUGAGCUAACCGGUACUAAUGAACCGUGAGGCUUAACCUU
rnacentral:rRNA from 1 species